AUUUAAAAUACACGCUUUGGAUUGUAAACAUCGUAAUUUAUCGAGAUUUUUUGGGACUUUUGUUAAUUUUGAAUAAUACUUUGAUCAGUUAUAAGUUAUAAUGCCUUCAUUUUGUUGUGUUGUUAACUGCGCGAUGCGAGGAGAAAGGGAUAAAGUAUCGUUUUUUCUAUUCCCGGCUGUUUUAAAGAAUAGAGGAGAAAACAUUCAGGCUCUAUCAGAAAAAAGGCGAAAUAGUGGGGUAAAGGCUUUAAAACGAGGCCCCUUAUCUGAACAACAGCUUAAAACUUGGAGAAUUUGCUCAAGACACUUUAUAGAAGGUGAAUAAUAAUACAAGAUCACCAGCUGAACUUGAAAACAAACUUCAUCCAGACUGGAUUCCAAGCCACAACAUGGGAUAUGUUUCCAGCACCAAGCCCAGUAAAUUAGCGGUAUCAAGACACGAUAGAGUUGUGAAGCGAAAGAAGCUUAUUCAUGAGAGUUAUGAUAAAGAGGUUCAAGCUGAAGUCCAGGUAUAACCC